rnacentral:tRNA from 1 species
GGAGAUUUAGCUCAGUGGUAGAGCGUUUGCCUAGCAAGCACAAGGCCCUGGGUUUGGCCCUAAGCUCUG